rnacentral:rRNA from 1 species
AUACGAAGGGGGCAGGCGUUGUUCGGAAUAACUGGGCGUAAAGCGCACGUAGGCGGAAUGUUAAGUUAGAGGUGAAAUCCCAGGGCUCAACCCUGGAACGGCCUUUAACACUGGCAAUAUAGAGACCGAGAGAGGUGAGUGGAAUUCCGAGUGUAGAGGUGAAAUUCGUAGAUAUUCGGAGGAACACCAGUGGCGAAGGCGGCUCACUGGCUCGGUACUGACGCUGAGGUGCGAAAGCGUGGGGAGCAAACAGGAUUAGAUACCCUAGUAGUCC